GAAAAUAACAAGUUACAGAAUGCUAUAGAGUGAUCCAAUUUUUGUAAUAUUUUGGUAAAAUACAAACUCUAUAUAUAGUAUUCAUAACUAAAUACAUAUAUACUAUGAAGUGUCUGGACAAAUCAUAUAGUCAUGCAUGACUUGACAAUGGGGAUAUAUUCUGAGAAAUGCAUCAUUAGGAUAUUUUUUCUUUGUGCAAACAUCAGGCAGUGUAUUUACACAAACUGAGAUAAUGCAGCCUACUGCACAGCUAGGCUAUAUAGUAUAGCCCACUGUUCCUAGGGUAUAAACCUGUACAGAAUACUACUAUACUGAAUACUGUAGGCAAUUAUAACACAAUGGUAAGUAUCUGUGUAUCUACACAUAUCUAAUCAUAGAAAAGAUACAGUAAAAUACCAGAUAAAAGAUUAAAAAUGAUACACCUGUAUAGCAUGCUUACCAUGAACAGAGCUUGCAGGACUGGAAGUUGCCCUGGGUGAGCCAAUGAUUGAGAGGUGAGAGAAUGUAAAAGCCUGGGACAUUACACUACUGUAAACUUAAUCAACACUGUACACAUAGGAUACACUAAGUUUAUUAAAAAGUUUGUCUUUCUUCAAUAAUAAAUUAAUAUUGGCUUAUUGUAACUUUUUGCUUUAUAGAGUUUUUACGUUUCCAAACUUUUUGACUUUUCUGUAAUAACACAUAGCUUAAAACACAAACAUAUUGUACAGCUAGCUAUAUAAGAAUAUUUUUUCUUUAUAUUCUUAUCCUAUAAGUUUUUUCCUAUUUUUAUACUUUUUAAUUCUAUUUUUGCCUUUUAAACUAUUUUUUUAAGAACUAAGACAUACACAUAGAAGUUAUACUAAGCCUACCAGGUGUCAGGAGCAUUAACAUCACUGUCUUCCACCUCCACAUCUUGUCCUGAUUGUCUUCAGGGGCAAUAACACAAAUGGAACCGUCAUCUCCUAUGAUAACAAGACCUCCUAAAAGGACCUACCUGAGGAUGUUUUACAGUUAACAUUUUUAUAAGUAGGCAUGCACUCUAAAAUAAUAACAGAUAGUAUAGUAAAUACAUAAACCAUUAUCUUAGUGAUUUAUUAUCAUUAUCAAGUAUAAUGUAAUGUACAUAAUUGCAUGUGCCAGGACUUUAUAACUGGCUAUACAGUAGGUUUGCUUACAGUAGCAUCACCACAAAUAUGUAAAUAAUGCAUUUCGCUACAAUAUUAUGAUGACCACGACCUCACUAGGUGAUGGAAAUUUUUCAGCUCCAUUAUAAUCUUAUGAGAUCACCAUAGUAUAUGCAGUCCUUCUUUGACAAAAUUGUUGUCAUGUGGUAUAUGAUCAUAUACAAAACUAUUAACAAUGGUAAUGCCCAGAAGCUAGAAUUAUGAAGCACAUACAUUAUGUUUACAACUCUAUGUUGUUUUAAUUUAUAUAAUAAUAAGGUAAUUAGUUUUAUAGGAUAAAAAUAACAAUAAUGAUAAAUAUAGAGAGAAUGAGCUUUUAUCAUAAUAAAACCUAAUUUAGAAAUAGUAAUGUGAGAAUCCAGUUAAUUCCAUUUAAAUCAGCCAAGAAGCUUGAGUUCCAUUUAAUAGAGUGUCCUUGUAGAUUCAAAAAGAGAGGUAGUGGGGAAAAGCAUAAGGAGAUGCUAUGAAGGAAAUUGAAAGCAUUUUGUAUAUUUUAAGCUGAGAUAGAGAAGACUUGGUAAGGAACAUAACCUGUCUUCAAAUUCUUGAAGAUUGUUUUAUGGAAGAGGUCAUAAAUGUGUUGUGUUUUGCCUUUGGGGUUUUCCUAAGGUCAGUGUGUGAAACUUGUAGAGAGAGAUUCAGAUUUAGUGUAAAAAGAGACCUUUUGCAUGGUCAUCAUUUUACAAAGAUAGAAAGAACAAGCUCCAUGGUUUCCUCAUUUUCACAAUGCCUGAAGUUAUCCAAAUACAAUCUGGAAAAACACAUGUCAGAAAAAUUGAGCAGUAACUCCCAGUCUGGUUAGAAGGGAGGGUUAAAUGCCCUAUCUAGGCUCCCUUCCAGCCAUGAGGUUAUGAUAUUGUGAGAUCAGAACUUUCCAAAAGAGCUUUGUAAUUUUUAGGACAUGGAAAGCAUUUCUAUAAAAAAGUGAUUCUUUUUUAUUAAAUUUGGUUCACAUUACACAGUUAAAAGCAAAAUGAAAAGUCUGGAGACAUAGUUCUGUUCCAAACUUUCUAAUAAAUUCAUUCAUUCAUAAAUUCAAAAUUUAUUGAGUGCCUGCUAUGUGUCAGGAACUUCAUGAGAAAAAAAAUAAAGGAAAAAAAAGGUAUAGUCCAAGUAGUUUGUAUUUGAAUAGAUGAGGAAAAAUUUUAAGCAAACAAUUACAGUGCAAUAGCUGAAUCAAUAGAGGAACAUAACACAGUUCAGUAGCAGCAGAAAGAAGAGGAAGAACCUUGUCAAGGAAUGCCAAGAGUUGUAUGGGUAGGGGGGCAUACAGAAGCAUGCAAAUGUGUGAACAAAGAUGCGGAUAUGAAAAAAUGUAGAUGGUUUACUAUCACUAGAACUUAGAACAUCUAUAUUUUAAGAAUAUGAGACUAAAAUGUCAAAGCCACAUUAAAGAGUAUUUUGAGUACCAUUCUAAAAAAAAAGGCAGGGUUUUCUUUGAAGGUAAUUGGAAGCCACAGGAAAGCCUUUAAUAAUUUAAAAAAAAAGAAUACUAAGUACGUACUUUAUAAAGUUUGCACCUGUCAGCUUCAUGAAGGAAGAGAUGGUGAAAAUUUAGAUAAGAAAAGGAAAGGCAGUUAAUAAAAUUUAAUUGGCUUUUCAAAAUGUGGCUAAAGAAAUGGAGAGAUAAGCAAAAGAAAGGAGGGCUAAUAAGAAGGUAGAAUCAUCAGGAUUUAGUGAUUAAUUGAAUGUGGAUAUUGAAGGAAAAAGUAAAAUUCACUAGGCCUACAGUGAGUCUGGUUUUUGAAACUGGGUAGAUUAUCCGAGACAAGGAACGCAGAAAGAGGAACUCUUUCUGGGAAAAAUAAAAAAUAAAUACAAGACAAUAAACAAUAGCAUCAACACAAAAUCUUCUCCUGUUUGAUGUUAUUAAGAGGACUAAAUAAAAAUGUCCUGGACACCCUGGAAGAGAUGGACUGGAGCUGAAUUACAAGAUCCGAGCUACAGACACAUAACUGGAAGUCCUUAUGAACAUAUAUACUUGGAAAGCUUAUUGAUAUGGAUAAUAUUCCUGGAAAGGGGAGAAAACAAUAAGAGAAAGGAAAACUGGCAUCUUUACAUCUCAUAUCUUUAAGAGAAAACAGCAAAGGUAAGAAAAUAAUUAACUGGUUAGAUAUCAUGAUUGAUCCUCCGACUUGAAAGCAACCUACAAUGCUAGAUAAUUUUUAAAUCUUUUUUUUUUUUUUUUUACUUUACUCUAAGUUCUGGGAUACAUGCGCAGAAUGUGUAGGUUUGUUACAUAGGUAUAUGUGUGCCAUGGUGGUUUGUUUCACCUGUCAACCUGUCACCUGUCAACCUGUAAUCUAGGUUUUAAGCCCCACAUGCAUUAGGUAUUUGUCCUAAUGGUUUCCCCCACCUUGCCCCCACCCCCCAACAGGCCCUGGUGUGUGAUGUUACCUUCCCUGUGUCCAUGUGUUCUCCUUGUUCAACUCUCAUGAGUGAGAACAUGCGAUGUUUGGUUUUCUGUUCCUGUGUUAGUUUGCUGAGAAUGAUGGUUUCCAGCUCCCAAAAUGAUCACAGGUCACAAUGGGAAAGCAUCUACCAUCCUUCUUUUCUCAGAUUUGUUUCCCAUCAUAUA
rnacentral:lncRNA from 10 species